GUGGGGAAUCUUAGACAAUGGGGGAAACCCUGAUCUAGCCAUGCCGCGUGAGCGAUGAAGGCCUUAGGGUUGUAAAGCUCUUUCAGCUGGGAAGAUAAUGACGGUACCAGCAGAAGAAGCCCCGGCUAACUCCGUGCCAGCAGCCGCGGUAAUACGGAGGGGGCUAGCGUUGUUCGGAAUUACUGGGCGUAAAGCGCACGUAGGCGGAUCAGAAAGUCAGAGGUGAAAUCCCAGGGCUCAACCUUGGAACUGCCUUUGAAACUCCUGGUCUUGAGGUCGAGGGAGGUGUGUGGAAUUCCGAGUGUAGAGGUGAAAUUCGUAGAUAUUCGGAGGAACACCAGUGGCGAAGGCGGCUCACUGGCUCGAUACUGACGCUGAGGUGCGAAAGCGUGGGGAGCAAACAGGAUUAGAAACCCCUGUAGUCC
rnacentral:rRNA from 1 species